rnacentral:rRNA from 1 species
GAUGAACGCUGGCGGCGUGCCUAAUACAUGCAAGUCGAGCGAACAGAUGAGGAGCUUGCUCCUCUGACGUUAGCGGCGGACGGGUGAGUAACACGUGGAUAACCUACCUAUAAGACUGGGAUAACUUCGGGAAACCGGAGCUAAUACCGGAUAAUAUAUUGAACCGCAUGGUUCAAUAGUGAAAGACGGUUUUGCUGUCACUUAUAGAUGGAUCCGCGCCGCAUUAGCUAGUUGGUAAGGUAACGGCUUACCAAGGCAACGAUGCGUAGCCGACCUGAGAGGGUGAUCGGCCACACUGGAACUGAGACACGGUCCAGACUCCUACGGGAGGCAGCAGUAGGGAAUCUUCCGCAAUGGGCGAAAGCCUGACGGAGCAACGCCGCGUGAGUGAUGAAGGUCUUCGGAUCGUAAGACUCUGUUAUUAGGGGAGAACAAAUGUGUAAGUAACUAUGCACGUCUUGACGGUACCUAAUCAGAAAGCCACGGCUAACUACGUG